rnacentral:lncRNA from 1 species
AUAAGGGCAUCGUGGUGCCCGUAAUCGCUUGGACCUUCUUACGAAGAUCUUCAAUGGUCGCUCCUGCUCUUGUAUCACCUGUGAUGGCCCCUCUCCUAUAUCAGUAGAUGUCUCUUGAGCAUGCAUAUCGAGAAUAACAGAUGCUGUUGGAGCAUCUAUGAGCUGAGUGACCCCCUCAACCCCCUCAUAUGGAUCCAAUGAUGGGCCUGUAACAACCAGAUCAAACCACUC